GCAAUGGCAAAAGGCGAAUGCGGCAACCAAAAAAACGCAUCACGAAUGCAGUGCGCUCUCCAAACUCCCACAAACUCAAUUUGAUUUGGGUGGGGGUGGGGGUGGUGUCGGUCUGCCCCCACCCCUUGUUAUUUUCGGCGCGAGAGCUGGGAUAGUGCACCUGUCGCGACUGUCGUCUAAGAAGCCACUCAAAUGAUAUUCAGCAAAUAAAAAUAUACAUUAUACAAUA